rnacentral:lncRNA from 1 species
AUGAGCAGAGUUAAGGUACAGCAGCUCAGAGGAUGUCAUGAACGUAAGGAUCAACCUGCCGAGUCAUUAUCUGGUGAGCUAGAAAACUGUCCCGUUUACGACUGGAAGAAGGCAUUUCCCACAACAGCUUCAAGACUUGCUCUAGCUCCUGGGAGGAUCCCAAGGUCACAGGAGAGGAAACAUGCACGCCCAUGCCACAUUCAUGGAGGAGGACAGCGGUAG